rnacentral:lncRNA from 1 species
GGAGCUAAGGGGUGGUGGCUCUGGGGCAGUAGUCAGAGUUAGUUUGAAGAACUUACCUAAAGUGUGUCUUGAAGGCAUCCAUGGCUGCAGUCAGAUUUUCCCAUUAAUUGCUAUUCUUGCAACAGGACUGAAAGGUCUGCCCAGCCCUGGCCUUCCAGUCAGCAGGGAAGGAGGAGGGAUGCAUGGAAGUGAUGUUGAUGUUCAUCAUGCCUUACAUGGAUUUACAAACUCAAAGCUCUGAGCCAAGGUUUCAUCAGGGAUUUUUGCUACAGACAGUUUAACUAUAGCUGUAAUCAAUAACAACUGCUGAGUAGUGAGCAGACAAGAUAUGCUGCAAAGAAAGUGGGCAAAUUUCAUCGGAACAGAGGUUGGACAGUAAAAAUGUAAAGGGAGGUUGCUGAUGCUGUGGCUCCGUGGAAUAAUUUCUUCUGAGGAAUCCCAGCCCAGCGACUGGAAACAGACCUUCCUUGUGGACAGCAGGGAACUGGAAAUGCCAGAAAGGGGCU